GUGGAUGGUAUAAAAACUGAUACAUUGUGAAGGAAGAAAAGAAACUGGAGAAAGGGUCUGGAAAUGUGCAAGAUAAGACUGGAAAGCGGGAGACUGGAGAUGGCAGAGCCAGCAAGGAGCUUGUAGAUAUUCAAAUGCCAUCUGGACAUGGUCUUUUGUAGUCUGCUCUGGGUGUACCAGCUUGAGCAGCGGUUGGUCCAGAUGGACACAGAGGUCCCUACCAGCCUCAGACAUCUUGUGAUUGUGUGGUGAGUGAUGGAGUUUUGAGGAAAAAGAACUGAGAUGUCCAGGACAAGAGCACUGCACUGGCUGAGGAGUUUGAAGGAGAAAUUUAAAAUCUGAGCACUUGCAACCAAGACUCAAGACAAAUGGAGAAAAGUGCUUUAAACACAGAUCUCUGCUUGAAGCUGUCCUCUUCUAGGAAAGUGACUGGGAAAGCUAAUAUGAUUAUAGUGGUAUCAGCGAAGAUGGAUUAAGAGACCUGAGAGCUCCGAGAGUGCUGGUCUUGUUUAUGUAUCGGAGUGGGAGCAACAACUGGAAAUGGGAUGACAACUAUGAAAUAACAGUUUGCAGCAAGGGUAGUGAUCUCCUGUGUGCUUGUGGGACAUUAUUUGAGGGGUGAUGAAGCUCCCCUGAACACUGACCGAAAUAGAAGAACUGUUUGUUCCAGCAUCUUCUCAGGAGGGAUUGAAGUACGGUUGACCACCAUACAGAUUUCUGGGAGCUUCAGCUGGAAAAAGUGUUUUGAAUUAAGUAUUUUCAGAAGAAAUCUGGAAGAACCAAGACGUAUCACAAUAAUGAAACUGAGGUUUAAUAAGCAAUUGGUAAGACAAGAUUCCAAUUCUCAGAAGGAAAGAUGCAUAAUGCAGGAAAAAACAAGGCAAAUGAAUUGGUUCUGGAAAAGUCAGUCAAUGUAUAUGAUGGCAAACAGAGACAAACAGGAGAACAUACGAAAUCACGGUGUUCAGAUGGAUAGAGAGGCAACAGAAAUGGGAAGCAGUGUUCUGAUUCCUGCUGCUAUCAGUUGAUAAACCAG
ensembl:lncRNA